rnacentral:rRNA from 1 species
UUAAGUGCAUGUGGUGGAUGCCUUGGCAGUCAGAGGCGAUGAAAGACGUGAUAGCCUGCGAAAAGCUCCGGGGAGGCGGCAAAUAUCCUUUGAUCCGGAGAUGUCUGAAUGGGGGAACCCACCUACUUUAAGGUAGGUAUUGCAACAUGAAUACAUAGUGUUGCAAGGCGAACGAGGGGAAGUGAAACAUCUCAGUACCCUUAGGAAAAGAAAUCAAUUGAGAUUCCCUCAGUAGCGGCGAGCGAACGGGGAUCAGCCCAUUAAGUUAUGUGUGUUUUAGUGGAACGCUCUGGGAAGUGCGAACGUAGAGGGUGAUAUUCCCGUACACGAAAGGGCACACAUAAUGAUGACGAGUAGGGCGGAGGCACGUACGUAAACCUUGUCUGAAUAUGGGGGGGACCAUCCUCCAAGGCUAAAUACUCCUGACUGACCGAUAGUGAACCAGUACCGUGAGGGAAAGGCGAAAAGAACCCCUGUGAGGGGAGUGAAAUAGAUCCUGAAACCGCAUGCAUACAAGCAGUGGGAGCACCUUCGUGGUGUGACUGCGUACCUUUUGUAUAAUGGGUCAGCGACUUAUAUUCAGUAGCGAGGUUAACCGUAUAGGGGAGCCGUAGAGAAAUCGAGUCUUAAUAGGGCGUUUAGUUGCUGGGUAUAGACCCGAAACCAGGCGAUCUAUCCAUGAGCAGGUUGAAGGUUGGGUAACACUAACUGGAGGACCGAACCCACUGUCGUUGAAAAGCCAGGGGAUGACUUGUGGAUAGGGGUGAAAGGCUAAUCAAGCCUGGUGAUAGCUGGUUCUCCCCGAAAGCUAUUUAGGUAGCGCCUCGGACGAAUACCAUAGGGGGUAGAGCACUGUUUCGGCUAGGGGGUCAUCCCGACUUACCAAACCGAUGCAAACUCCGAAUACCUAUGAGUACUAUCCGGGAGACGGACUGCGGGUGCUAACGUCCGUAGUCAAGAGGAAAACAAUCCAGACCGCCAGCUAAGGCCCCAAAAUCAUAGUUAAGUGGGAAACGAUGUGGGAAGGCAUAGACAGCUAGGAGGUUGGCUUAGAAGCAGCCACCCUUUAAAGAAAGCGUAAUAGCUCACUAGUCGAGUCGGCCUGCGCGGAAGAUGUAACGGGGCUAAAACUAUGUGCCGAAGCUGCGGAUGUAUACUUUGUAUACGUGGUAGGGGAGCGUUCUGUAAGCCGAUGAAGGUGUGUUGAGAAGCAUGCUGGAGGUAUCAGAAGUGCGAAUGCUGACGUGAGUAACGACAAAACGGGUGAAAAACCCGUUCGCCGAAAGACCAAGGGUUCCAGUCCAACGUUAAUCGGGGCUGGGUGAGUCGACCCCUAAGGCGAGGCCGAAAGGCGUAGUCGAUGGGAAAAUGGUUAAUAUUCCAUUACUUCUGUGUAAUGCGAUGAGAGGACGGAGAAGGCUAAAUCAGCCUGGCGUUGGUUGUCCAGGUGAAAGGAUGUAGGCAUGUAUCUUAGGCAAAUCCGGGGUACUCUAUGCUGAGAUCUGAUAGCAAGCUGUACUUGUACAGCGAAGUGGUUGAUGCCAUGCUUCCAGGAAAAGUCUCUAAGCUUCAGUUACACAGGAAUCGUACCCGAAACCGACACAGGUGGUCAGGUCGAGUAGACCAAGGCGCUUGAGAGAACUCUGCUGAAGGAACUAGGCAAAAUGGUACCGUACUUCGGGAGAAGGUACGCUGUUGUUGGUGAUGGAACUCGCUUCCUGAGCUGACGACAGCCGCAGAAACCAGGCCGCUGCAACUGUUUAUUAAAAACAUAGCACUCUGCAAACACGAAAGUGGACGUAUAGGGUGUGAUGCCUGCCCGGUGCUGGAAGGUUAAUUGAUGGGGUUAGCGUAAGCGAAGCUCUUGAUCGAAGCCCCAGUAAACGGCGGCCGUAACUAUAACGGUCCUAAGGUAGCGAAAUUCCUUGUCGGGUAAGUUCCGACCUGCACGAAUGGCAUAAUGAUGGCGGCGCUGUCUCCAGCAGAGGCUCAGUGAAAUCGAAAUCGCUGUGAAGAUGCAGUGUACCCGCGGCUAGACGGAAAGACCCCGUGAACCUUUACUGCAGCUUGACACUGAACUUUGACCUUACUUGUGUAGGAUAGGUGGGAGGCUUUGAAGCUGGAACGCUAGUUCCAGUGGAGCCGUCCUUGAAAUACCACCCUGGUAAUGUUGAGGUUCUAACUCUGUCCCGUGAUCCGGGACGAGGACCGUGUCUGGUGGGUAGUUUGACUGGGGCGGUCUCCUCCUAAAGAGUAACGGAGGAGUACGAAGGUGCGCUCAGCGUGGUCGGAAAUCACGCGUAGAGUAUAAAGGCAAAAGCGCGCUUAACUGCGAGACCCACAAGUCGAGCAGGUACGAAAGUAGGUCUUAGUGAUCCGGUGGUUCUGUAUGGAAGGGCCAUCGCUCAACGGAUAAAAGGUACUCUGGGGAUAACAGGCUGAUACCGCCCAAGAGUUCAUAUCGACGGCGGUGUUUGGCACCUCGAUGUCGGCUCAUCUCAUCCUGGGGCUGAAGCAGGUCCCAAGGGUAUGGCUGUUCGCCAUUUAAAGAGGUACGCGAGCUGGGUUUAGAACGUCGUGAGACAGUUCGGUCCCUAUCUACCGUGGGCGCUGGAAAUUUGAGAGGAUCUGCUCCUAGUACGAGAGGACCAGAGUGGACGAACCUCUGGUGUACCGGUUGUGACGCCAGUCGCAUCGCCGGGUAGCUAUGUUCGGAAGGGAUAACCGCUGAAAGCAUCUAAGCGGGAAGCCUACCUCAAGAUAAGAUUUCCCUAGGACUUUAUGUCCUCUAAAGAGCCGUUCGAGACUAGGACGUUGAUAGGUUGGAUGUGGAAGCAUAGUGAUAUGUGAAGCUGACCAAUACUAAUUGCUCGUGAGGCUUGACU